UCUUAACUCUUAUUGACUCACAGAUUGAUAAAGGAGUGUACAUAUCAAGGAAGCUAUUGUUUGCUGGUAUGCUGUUGAGAGUCAGUGGAUUGUGGACUAAAGGGGAAACUGUCAAGAGUGGAGUGCAUGGUGACUGAGGAUUGUGUUUAGAUCAGCCUCAUUGCAAUUCUUCCUAUUCAUGCAAGUCAAUUCAGAGAUAUGGGAGUUUGAUCCCAAUGGUGAUACUUACUUUGAUGAAGCAGUUGAUGGUUUUUGAAGGAUCUCUUCUUCGUUUGGAAGGUGUGAUUCCAUUGAUAAACUCCAUAAAAGGUGUGAGACCAUUAAUUGAGAGAUACAGGACUCACAACAGUUCAAGGACUUCUACCAGUUUACGUUUAAUGUUGCCAAAAAUCCGGGCAGAAAGGACUAGGCUAGUGACAUAAUAUUAUACAUGUACAUGUACAUGUAGGAUCAUGUU